AAAUGUGCGUAAAAUAGAUGGGCUUUUCACUGGCCAAGUUAAUGAAACGAUUUCUUGUGGCUUAUGUCGGCCAUGUCUAAAGCUCAAUUGUGUGUAAAGUCGGAGGCGAAGACGGCAAACAAUUGAUUCAUUUGCUCCCAUGAGGAAAGAGGCUUACGAUUGGAGGAUUGAGGUUAGCCAAUGAUUCGGAAACGAAUAUGUGCUGGAAAAAGUCAAUUGUGGGGAAAAACUAAAGCCUCGAAUGAAGCCAAAAGAAAAUCCAGGGAAAAUUGUGCAAAGAGCCCAACUGUAGCCAGGGAAAACCAAAUGGAAAUGGAAGGUUUUCAUGGACAUAAACAUCAAACAAAAUUGAAUUCUACUUUAGUCAGAGACUGGAUAUAUCUUGAUCUAUAUUUUUAUAUGCCGAUACUUGCAGCAAAGGAAUGCGAGGGCGAAGAAGGGGGUUUGGCAGAAGCCGAACGCGACGGCCAAGAAUGCAACCCUGGACCGAUCGUGGUGGAAUAUUAUCUUCGGAGAGGCGGCCGAUUGGCUCUGUCGCCAAACCCCGGGUUUUAUAGAAACGAAGGACGGCUACUGGAAAUCAAUGGAAACAUGAAAGUUUUUCGAUCGAAUCUGGGAACACAACUGUACCAGGAACACUCCCGUAGACACAGGCAAGUGUCAAACGUCAGGCAUCAAAAAAAUGAUUGUGAAGCCCUCGGCGGAUUCCUCCCUGGACUCCGCACAGCCCGGCUGUUGUUGGUGCCAAAAUCGGAAAUAUUGCUGCUUUGUGAUAAUAUUUUUACUCUGUUUCAUAGCAUUAAUAUGCGUGGCCGUGUAUUUCGGACAGAAGCACUAGCCACAGGACACUCAUUAAACAUUUAAAGGGUAUGGGGUACCCCCUCGCCCCCCACCACCAAAAGAUUGUAGAUACAUCUUUCAGAAUGCAAUGGU